ensembl:lncRNA
UUUUUUCAUUUUCUGAGACCGGAAGUGGUCAUCAGCAAGUGUGGAGCCAAACGACAACAAGAUUCUCAGAGGGCGGAACCAGAGAGCAGUGAUUGGUCAGACUGACUGAGAGCUAGAGAGCAGCGAUUGGUCAGACCACAGAUAAUAUAGAAGACAGCGCGCUAGCGGAGCUAGUAUACUAUGUAUCUAUGGUCGGCACGUUUGGUAGCAUCUGUGGCUGCUGUUGACCUUGUUUUUGGAGUAAAACACGGUGGAAGCUGAAUUAGUGAGGAUGACUCCUGCUCCUGUCAUCUCUAAGCUCCUCACACAUCUUUACCUGCACAUGAGGAAAAUCACUCCUGUAGAAUGCAGGUAUGUUUGUCAUUAUUAUAAAAAGAUGUUGACUGGUGACCUGUCAGAAACCCAUUAUACAGAGUCAGCCAAAAUAAUGUUUACACACAUCAGGAAAAGAAAAACUAGCAUAAAUAUUUCAAUACCAAAUUUAUUCAGACAUCCUGAGAUUAAUAAAAGUUAUCUUUGGCCUCUACAAUUACAAGAGGUGCUCAAAGUGGUGGCCACUGGCUUCCAGACAUUUCUGUUCUGUUGUAGACGUCACUUAUUGAUGCUCCAUUCAUGAGGGUAAUGCCAUCUGUUGGGAAAACGUCGUACAACAGGACACAGAGUUAUCGUGAUUUGAUCAAACUUUGAAAGAGGAAUCUAUAUGUAUAGAAGUACUUAUACAAAUGAAAUAUUUAUAAAAGUUUUUCUUUUCCUGAUGUGUGUAUACAUUAUUUUUGGCUGACUCUGAACUUAAUGAGAACAAAACUGUCAUUUAAUCGUUUCUCUGAAAGCUUCUUUAGUGAAAACCGGCUGGUGUUCUGCUUUGAAACAAACUGCUGUUGAGGUCUGUGUUUAUAGGUUUAACCCCACAGUUUCUGAAUGAACUGAUAGUUGUUUUUUUCCCUGAUCAAUGUGGACGUUAUAAUUGAUGGUAACAUUUACUGGUCAUAUAAUCAGCAUGACAAUACAACAGUAUAACAUUAUGACCACCUGACUAAUACUGUGUUGGUCCCUUUAUGCUGCUAAAACUCCUCUGACCCAGUGGUUCAUCAGAACCUCUGGGGAUGUCCUGUGGAUUCUGUGGAUCCUGUGGGUUGCAGGGUGGGUCCUACCUAGACCAGGCUGAUCCUGGACCAUCCCACAGAUGCUCCAUCAGAUGUGGAUGUGGGGAGUGUGGAACCCAGAUGUUCAGAGGGAGAUGAUGCCACAUCUGGUCCAGCUGAUGGAAGGUCUUGAAGUUCUCUGACUGGCCUCGACUGAAGAUGGUCGUCUCACUGGAUUUAAGAGAUGCACAAUGAGGGACGUCUGCAGAGACUGAGAAAGAGUCUCACCACAUCCUGACAUGAGGAAAAAGACUUUAUUGAAGACUGCAAUGAGAAAAACUAUCAGACAGCAGAUGGCUGCCAUUCAAGGUGAGCUCUGAACAUUUGAUCUGGAACAGGAAUUCAAUAACGGCAGCAUGAGCUUCAUUUCAGUCUGUAGCUGCUGAAUUCAUGGAUGAAUCAUCUGGCACUCGAGAGGAAGACCAUCAAACAUCCAUGUCAGCUGAUGGAGGUCCAAGAGUCUCACCGAACAAACAACCUACAGAGUGAAGACCUCAAAUCUGAUUGGACGGCCUCCUAUUCAGCCACGUGUGAACAAAUGCCUCUAAGCUGAUUUGUUUUCUAAAAUAAAUCUAGUUUGAGUCCUAAUCUAUGCCUGUGUGUUUGCUUCUUUACACCGCUGUUAACAGUUUAGGCUGUUAGAUUGUUCCAGAUAAGACAAGUAC